UCAACCCACGCCCUACAACAAUAUAUUUGCCAUGCUGCUUUAUUUAUCAGCAUCUUGAUGCAUGCAUCCCUGCGUAACUCGUAGCCCCCUCCUUCUGGAGUCAUCCCAGUUCAAGACGUCUGUCUGCCUUUUAUUAAAGAUUCUCUCUCCGAAUAUUUCUGCAGCAGUGUCUGUACAACAACAGCUUUAUAUCAAUGGCACAGGAGGUGUGUUUGCAGCUGUGACAUCAUUGUAUAAAUAUCAGACAGCAGUGCAGGAAAUUUGGGCUGGGUAAAGGCUGCACUCUUUGCUGAGUCUGCUUUUACCUUAUUCUGUGUCCUCAGUACAUUUGUACUCAUACAGGAAGGAUUGCACCCAUUCUUUCCUCCUGUGCUUCACCUGGUGGAAAUCACUAAACGUCACCAGGGUCCAGGCCCCUUUCCCAGUCACUGGCUCACUUUGUGUACUGGUUCUCACUCUGAAACACAAGUGAUUCUCAAUUGCAGCGUUAUCCAACAAACAAACUUGUGACUUUGUACCGGGUUGUAAAUAAAUAACAUUCUUGGCAUCUUUUCAUCAAUGCUGACACACACUGGACUUCUCUGUCACAUUUACCAGUAUCUUACUGGCUGCAUAGGAAAACAAUAGUUAUGAACAACCAAUUUUUUGUCUUCCCUGGAAUAUUGUUGAUAGGACUUUGGGAAAUUCCUUUGAAGAAGACUCUUGCUUGGGAGCCCUAUGGAUUAUAAUGUUGCACAUGUUCCAGGCUGAGUUAUUUUUACUUCCAAAACUUCUCUGGGAUUUAAAUUGACAACCCUGGAGAAAACAGACAAGUUGGAAUCCAUGCAAGAUCAAAAUAGACAUUGACAACAGAAGUGAAAGGCAAGUACAUUUAGGAUCUCGGUGAACAUCAGAAUGAAUAAUAAGUGUGUUUGGUAAUGGGAUGGUAGAGCCAUUGAAGAAACGUCUGAACCUCCAAAUCUGUGUUACCAGUGGACUGGGAAAGCUUUGUCUUGAUGACAGUAAUUGAGAGGCUGCUUCUCUCUCUCUGGCAGGCGCCACACGCUCCCUAAAGAACCAGCCCCCUCCCGCUUUGGGAAACAAGUGGAAGCAGAAACAAAGGCAAUUGUAAUUGCUUCAAGCCGGCUGGCAUAUAAACUGAACACAGAGAAAGCUCAUUGCUGGGGCACACAAGAUUGUUAUAGAGUAUCUGUGCAUUACAAAACACUGACUGUCUGACUUAAUCAUCAUUUACUGGAGACAGGAUCCAACUAUGUGUUAUCAAAGCCCGUCAACUCUUACUCCUAAGUAAAGAAAUAUCAGUGAUUUGUUUAUGUAUUCAGUCCUAAUACUUAUCGCACAUUGCAGUUGUUAUAAAUUCCUAUGACUGGUGAUCUUUUCUUGAAUAGGUUUCAAAACUGAUAUGAAAUGAACUAUCACAGACUUGGCUUCAAAACACAUUCCCUGCUUUGUUAUCUUUGAGUAUGGUAAGGCAUAAAAUCAACUUUUUAAAUAAA